AGUGAACGCUGGCGGUAGGCCUAACACAUGCAAGUCGAACGGCAGCACAGUAAGAGCUUGCUCUUACGGGUGGCGAGUGGCGGACGGGUGAGGAAUACAUCGGAAUCUACUUUUUCGUGGGGGAUAACGUAGGGAAACUUACGCUAAUACCGCAUACGACCUACGGGUGAAAGCAGGGGAUCUUCGGACCUUGCGCGAUUGAAUGAGCCGAUGUCGGAUUAGCUAGUUGGCGGGGUAAAGGCCCACCAAGGCGACGAUCCGUAGCUGGUCUGAGAGGAUGAUCCGCCACACUGGAACUGAGACACGGUCCAGACUCCGAGGGGAGGCAGAAGUGGGGAAUAUUGGACAAUGGGCGGAAGCCUGAUCCAGCCAUACCGCGUGGGUGAAGAAGGCCUUCGGGUUGUAAAGCCCUUUUGUUGGGAAAGAAAAGCAGCAGGUUAAUACCCCGCUGUUCGGACGGUACCCAAAGAAUAAGCACCGGCUAACUUCGU
rnacentral:rRNA from 1 species